rnacentral:tRNA from 1 species
GGCUCCAUAGUGUAGCGGUUAGCACGUCUGCUUUACACGCAGAAGGUCCUGGGUUCACUCCCCGGGGGGUGCCA